UUUCCGGUCCCGGGGCGUGGCCUGUGAGCGGAAGCUAGUGUCUGAUUGGUACCGCCCUCUGCACGCUGGGGAAAAGUGACCUGUAACUGCGGCGGCCUAGACAGCCUGAGGAGGGACCCAGAGUGGGCAGAAGUGGCCGAGCAGGUACCAUGCUCCCUCCUCAGUGCAGUACGGUGAGGAGAUAGCUCGCCGAAGAGCCCGACUCCGGUGCCUCCCUCCCAGGGCACCUGUUGUGGACAUCACAGUACCACAUACCUGCAGAGUCCUGGCUGGGAUACUAUCUCACAUCUGCUCUGCUCUGCCGGCAUCUGAAACAGACAUGGCUCUUUCCAGGUACACUGAGGACAAUUCCGAGAGACAUCAGCGUGGGAUAUGUGACAGCGAUUCCAAAAUUUAAUACAAUAUUGAAUGCUGAAAUAGAGAAUUUUGAAGACUGGAGUUACCUUUAACUGUCCUGUCCUUGACCUCUGUGCUGGCUCAUUUGACCCCAGUUUCUCAGUCAGGAGGCCGGCACUACAAGGAGUCCUGUCAUUCCUUGAACUUAAGAUUUUUUCUUGAAGGCACAGUAUUAGGAUUAGGAGGAGCAUUUUAACAAGUCUCAGGGGCUGGAGAGAUGGCUCAGCAGUUAAGAACACUGAUUGCUCUUCCAGAGGUCCUGAGUUCAAUUCCCAGCAACCACAUAGUGGCUCACAACCAUCU